rnacentral:rRNA from 1 species
ACGCUGGCGGCGUGCCUAAUACAUGCAAGUAGAACGCUGAAGAGAGGAGCUUGCUCUUCUUGGAUGAGUUGCGAACGGGUGAGUAACGCGUAGGUAACCUGCCUUGUAGCGGGGGAUAACUAUUGGAAACGAUAGCUAAUACCGCAUAACAAUGGAUGACACAUGUCAUUUAUUUGAAAGGGGCAAAUGCUCCACUACAAGAUGGACCUGCGUUGUAUUAGCUAGUAGGUGAGGUAACGGCUCACCUAGGCGACGAUACAUAGCCGACCUGAGAGGGUGAUCGGCCACACUGGGACUGAGACACGGCCCAGACUCCUACGGGAGGCAGCAGUAGGGAAUCUUCGGCAAUGGGGGCAACCCUGACCGAGCAACGCCGCGUGAGUGAAGAAGGUUUUCGGAUCGUAAAGCUCUGUUGUAAGUCAAGAACGAGUGUGAGAGUGGAAAGUUCACACUGUGACGGUAGCUUACCAGAAAGGGACGGCUAACUACGUGCCAGCAGCCGCGGUAAUACGUAGGUCCCGAGCGUUGUCCGGAUUUAUUGGGCGUAAAGCGAGCGCAGGCGGUUUGAUAAGUCUGAAGUUAAAGGCUGUGGCUCAACCAUAGUUCGCUUUGGAAACUGUCAAACUUGAGUGCAGAAGGGGAGAGUGGAAUUCCAUGUGUAGCGGUGAAAUGCGUAGAUAUAUGGAGGAACACCGGUGGCGAAAGCGGCUCUCUGGUCUGUAACUGACGCUGAGGCUCGAAAGCGUGGGGAGCGAACAGGAUUAGAUACCCUGGUAGUCCACGCCGUAAACGAUGAGUGCUAGGUGUUGGAUCCUUUCCGGGAUUCAGUGCCGCAGCUAACGCAUUAAGCACUCCGCCUGGGGAGUACGACCGCAAGGUUGAAACUCAAAGGAAUUGACGGGGGCCCGCACAAGCGGUGGAGCAUGUGGUUUAAUUCGAAGCAACGCGAAGAACCUUACCAGGUCUUGACAUCCCGAUGCUAUUUCUAGAGAUAGAAAGUUACUUCGGUACAUCGGUGACAGGUGGUGCAUGGUUGUCGUCAGCUCGUGUCGUGAGAUGUUGGGUUAAGUCCCGCAACGAGCGCAACCCCUAUUGUUAGUUGCCAUCAUUCAGUUGGGCACUCUAGCGAGACUGCCGGUAAUAAACCGGAGGAAGGUGGGGAUGACGUCAAAUCAUCAUGCCCCUUAUGACCUGGGCUACACACGUGCUACAAUGGUUGGUACAACGAGUUGCGAGUCGGUGACGGCAAGCUAAUCUCUUAAAGCCAAUCUCAGUUCGGAUUGUAGGCUGCAACUCGCCUACAUGAAGUCGGAAUCGCUAGUAAUCGCGGAUCAGCACGCCGCGGUGAAUACGUUCCCGGGCCUUGUACACACCGCCCGUCACACCACGAGAGUUUGUAACACCCGAAGUCGGUGAGGUAACCUUUUGGAGCCAGCCGCCUAAGGUGGGAUAGAUGAUUGGGGUG